rnacentral:rRNA from 1 species
UAACACGUAUCCAACCUGCCGUCUACUCUUGGACAGCCUUCUGAAAGGAAGAUUAAUACAAGAUGGCAUCAUGAGUUCACAUGUUCACAUGAUUAAAGGUAUUCCGGUAGACGAUGGGGAUGCGUUCCAUUAGAUAGUAGGCGGGGUAACGGCCCACCUAGUCUUCGAUGGAUAGGGGUUCUGAGAGGAAGGUCCCCCACAUUGGAACUGAGACACGGUCCAAACUCUUACGGGAGGCAGCAGUGAGGAAUAUUGGUCAAUGGGCGAGAGCCUGAACCAGCCAAGUAGCGUGAAGGAUGACUGCCCUAUGGGUUGUAAACUUCUUUUAUAAAGGAAUAAAGUCGGGUAUGCAUACCCGUUUGCAUGUACUUUAUGAAUAAGGAUCGGCUAACUCCGUGCCAGCAGCCGCGGUAAUACGGAGGAUCCGAGCGUUAUCCGGAUUUAUUGGGUUUAAAGGGAGCGUAGAUGGAUGUUUAAGUCAGUUGUGAAAGUUUGCGGCUCAACCGUAAAAUUGCAGUUGAUACUGGAUAUCUUGAGUGCAGUUGAGGCAGGCGGAAUUCGUGGUGUAGCGGUGAAAUGCUUAGAUAUCACGAAGAACUCCGAUUGCGAAGGCAGCCUGCUAAGCUGCAACUGACAUUGAGGCUCGAAAGUGUGGGUAUCAAACAGGAUUGGAUACCCUGGUAGUCCACACGGUAAACGAUGAAUACUCGCUGU